rnacentral:miRNA from 1 species
AGGAACGGAGGAAUAGACGGU